GGAGCUUCAUAGUUGGGAGAGUUAACGGCUAACAAAAACAGAGAGGAAAUAGAGUAAGAGUGACGGGGAGGGAGGUGAACGGCAAAGAGAAAACAACAAAAGAGGGAGGUGGACGGAAAAAAGAGAGAAAGGUUGACGGUGGAAGAAGAGGGGGUAGAGAGGGACGGCGAUAGAAAGCCAAAGCUACGGGAAGCUUAUGGAGUUGGCGACUGUGAGGGUUUAGAAACAAAGAAAAACCAAAGGAAGAAGAGGAAGAGAAAUCUGGGGGCUUCAUCGUGGAGAGGGGCUGACGGGGAGGAAAGUAAAAACAGCAAAAGAAAAGCUAGGAGCUACGGCUGAGUGGAGAGCUGGGGGCGGCGAACCGAAAACCAGAAAAAGAAGAAGAAAUUUUCUGCAAAAUUUUCGGCAGAAUGGGCUGAUUUUCGGCACACCUUGCGGCAUGAUUAUUUCCUGUCUGGUUGUGCAAUCCGAUUGGAUUUUUGUUUCUGCACCAAGUGGGGAGUAAGGGGAGGAUUUCUUGUUCAGAAAUUGUUCACAAAUAACAAUGGGAAGAUCGUCAAAUCUGACCACCAAGGAGCUGCUCUGCCUCCACUGCACAGAACGAAAACGCAGCAGAAACUCUUGUUUUGGCCCAGCAAUUCAGGUGAUCGUUUCUGAGCCUCUUCCAUACUCGUUUACAUCCCUUAUUGUUUAUAGACGGAAACAAUUUCUUUUAGCUGAAACUUUCAUGAAAUUUCAGAAAAUCUUGCUUGAGCUUUUCCUUUUCCUUUGAAUAAAUCGUUUUUUUGGAUUGCUGGAGUCGUGGUUUGCUUAACAAUGCUUGACUUGUUUGCUAUUCGACUGAGAUGUCGCGUGUACAUUGUGAAGCUUAGAGCUAAAGGCCAUCAGUGUCUUGCAUCUUGUUUAGCCAAAAAGUUUUCCAUGUGAACUUGAGUCGCGGCUGCCAAAGUGGCAGCAGGCGCACUUUUGGUUGCUGAUUUUUUUAUAUAGAGCCAAUGAUCCUAGUUUUCAUUUGUUUUGAUUUGAGCGGAGAUGGAUCGAAGAUUUUGCAUAUACUUUGUUUGCCAAAGGCUCGUGAAUGAAGUUUGCGAAUGAAAAUCUGCAGAGAGAGUUCUUGCUGCAUUUUUUCCCUUUCUUUUGCUGUUUAGUUCUUGUCGCCCCUGAUGGGUAUCUCGAAUGUUUGGCUGCAUCCCUACGACGAGUUCAUGUGCAUUGGAGUUAGUUUUGAUAACUGGAAUCCGGCUGACUGGCGAGCUUUUGGCAUGAUUUAAUGUAGAAAGCCGCAGCUGGAAUAUUGUAAAAGAAAAACCCUGCGGCAUUUUUUCCUUUCUUUCUAUUGCUGUUUUGCUGUUUAGUUUUACCUCUGGUGGUCAGUUUCAUUUAUUGUUUUAAUCCUGCAAUAAGAGUUGCUGUCUUACUCCUGCAAUGAUGAAAUGGUUAUGCUUAGAUGAAAUGUUUUUGAUCAAUGCUUGGAAAUGGAAAUGAGAAAUGCAGCAAGCUUGCACUUUUCCGUUUGCAGAAAUCUUCUUGAGUUUGCAUGAAAGGUUGCUGGAAUUUACAUUAUCCCAUCAUAAUUUGUUGGCUUGUGGAAUUCUGUGUUAGUUUUUAGUUUAAUGCCGAUGGCUUUGAUUGAUUGGUGAGAUGUUAGCUGCAUAUUAGGAUUGUAUUUGAGAAGUUUAGCAUGUUGCAGAUGAAAGGAACCAGAAAAACAAAGAGAUUUACGUAGCAUGCAUGAAAGCUUUCUGAAAUAUUACACUUUGACCCCCUAAGUCUCUCCUAAUGCCACUAUGACCCAAUUAAUUAAAGAAUUUCAUCAAAUUGGUCCUUGAUAAUUUUAAUUUGUGCAACUUCAUUGUUUGUUUUGCUUCAAUUAACUACCAUGCUCUGUCAAUUGCACUUAAGUUAUGACUUUAGGGACUUUAUGACUAAGUGAGCCUUGUUUUGCCCAUUUCUUCUAAUUUUUUAAAUAAAGUGGUGCCUUGACCUUUUUAUUAUUUUGGAGGGUAAUUGAAUAAUUUCACUUCAUUGGGGCGUCAAUUCAAGGGAGGUACACUCUAUCCUUCAUUUGCGCUUCAUUUGACCCUACGUGCUCCUACGUGUUAUGUGAAUAUGCAUGUCUACUUCGCUUUCCUUACCUCCUUGCAUGCGUUUACUUGCUUUUUACUUUUAUUUAAGUUUUAUGGGGUAUGUGUACACCUCUUCGCUUGUAAUAGAUAGGGCUCGGAGAGCCUCUAGUCCAUUUCCCCUUUCCCUUUAUGCUUUUAUGGGGUAUGUGUACACCUCUUGGCUUGUAAUAGAUAGGGCUCGGAGAGCAUCUGGUCCAUUUUCCCCUUCCCCUUGUUUGCUUGUUUUUGUUGCUACAUGUUUAAUUGCUUUGAUAGGGCCUCGCAUCUAGUCGAGCAUGCUAAAUGUUAUGUGCUAUGUGUUUAUACGUGUUUGGCAUGUCUACUCGCUUUCUAUAGCAUGAAUGAAUGUGAUGGAUGAAUGUACGUCACCACACUAGUCCAAUGCUAGUUGUGGCUCAUUAGGUAUUUCUCCUCGUUAGCACAUCAUUUGCUUGUUCACCACAUAUCACGCAUUUUUCUUAGCUUUAUCAUUUGGCAU
rnacentral:lncRNA from 1 species